AACCCCCCCCCCCCCCACGCUUUUUUUUUUUCCGGAGCUGAGGACUGAACCCAGGGCUGGAUGUUCUUCCCAAAAUGAGUUUGGUGAUUAAAAAUCUGCAGCGGGUGGUCCCCAUCAGAAGAGUACCACUUCGCAGGAAGAUGGAUAUGGUCCGGAGUAUUUUAGGAGUGAAGAAUUUUGACCUGGGGAUCAUCUGUAUUGACAAUAAGAGUAUUCAGCACAUUAAUAGGAUCUACAGGAAGAAAAACGUCCCAACUGAUGUGCUUUCUUUCCCCUUUCAUGAGAAUCUGAAAGCAGGUGAAUUUCCUCAGCCAUACUCACCAGAUGAUUAUAAUUUGGGAGAUGUUUUUCUAGGAGUGGAAUAUAUCUUCCAGCAGUGCAAAGAAAAUGAAGAUUACUAUGACAUCCUAACGGUGACAGCCACCCAUGGACUCUGUCACCUUCUGGGCUUCACCCACAACUCCGAGGCUGAGUGGCAAAAGGUACCUGCCGAGGCCAGAAGAGGGAGUUGAUUUCCUGGAACUGGAGUUGCAGUGGUUGUGAGCUGCCUGAUGUGGAUGCUGGGAGCCAAACCCAGGCGAUCUAUAAGAGCAAUGUACAGUCAGGAGAAGCUGGUGCUGGAGGAACUAAAUCGCUGCACCGGAAGCAGGCUCCAGCCCCUGAGCAGGGGCCUCUACUAAUGCUUCGAUGCCCUGAGAUAGCGAAGUUGAUGAACAGAGUCCUGCCCCUCCAGGGCGGCUCUCUGCCGGUCAUGCCAUCCUGGAUGACAUCAGCCCACACUAAAGUUUAGUCCCGUGAGUGGAAAUUGGCUUCAGAAAGUACCGAAGAGGUGUCUGACUGGUUCUUGCUCUGUUUAGAAGACUGUCUUGAUUAUUGUAAACAGUAGUUCUAGGCCAUUUCUAAGAGAAGAAACACGUAAGUUCUGUAUGCUUCUGUGGGUUUCUAGUGGCAGAGUUUGGGUGGACUGCCCUGUCUCCCUGAAGUGGAACCCACGUCUCAGAACACUGAAAUCUGUUCUUCCUAGGAGACCGGGCACCUGCAAGAGAAGCAGACUCAAAAGGGCAAGGCUCCCACCCCAGCCCUCAGGAACUCUGUGACCUGAACCUUGUUUGCGCCACUCCUAAGAGCUACUAUAUGCCCUCACUUUUCUUAAGCCAUUGGCUACAAACACCAUAAGAAAGCCCAGUGACCUACAAAGCCCGUCUCCCAGGGGCCAGAGAUUCAGUCAGGCCCAUCUCCAAUCCCCUUAUCAUUGUUGUUAUUUUAAUUUGAUGUAUGUGUAUGUGUAUGGGUGCACAUAUUCCACAGCAUGCUAUGGUGAUAUUUUAUUUGUACUGAAAUGUGAUUUUAUUUGUAUGUUAAUAAAGUUGCCUGGGGGUCAGAGCUAAUAGCAAGCCAUAGCAGAAGCCAGGCAGUGGUGGCACAUGCCUUUAAUCCCAGCACUUGAGAGACAGAACUAGGCAGAUCUCUGUGUGUUCAAGGACACAGCCAGCAUGGAGACAUACGCCUUUAAUCUCAAUACCAACCUUCAAAGACCUGGAGGUCUGUUUAGACAGGCAGUGACUAGGAGGUCAUGUGGUUGGGUUUACAACCAAUGAGAAGGCAGAACAGAAAGUCAAUAAAAGGACAGACACACAGGAGGUAGGUCUCUUUCUGAGGGAAGGACAGUGGCAGCUAAGGGUAAGAAAGGCAGUUUUAGCUGGGCGGUGGUGGUAGGCCAGCCCGGUCUACAGAGCGAGAUCCAGGAAAGGCGCAAAGCUACACAGAGAAACCCUGUCUCGAAAAACAAAGAAAGGCGGUUUUAAGUCUCAGCUCUCAGCUGCUGCUCUGACCUCUUGGGCUUUUAACUGCAA